rnacentral:rRNA from 1 species
UACGAAGGUGGCAAGCGUUACUCGGAAUUACUAGGCGUAAAGGGCAGGUAGGUGGUUCGGUAAGUCUGUUGUGUAAGCUCCCGGCUUAACUGGGAGAGGUCAACGGAAACUACCGGACUUGAGUAUGGGAGAGGGUUCUGGAAUUCCCGGUGUAGCGGUGAAAUGCGCAGAUAUCGGGAGGAACACCAAUGGCGAAAGCAGGAGCCUGGACCAUUACUGACACUCAGCUGCGAAAGCUAGGGGAGCAAACGGG